rnacentral:tRNA from 1 species
GCCCCCGUCGACUAGCGGUCUAGGUCUCCACCCUUUCAAGGUGGCAGCACGGGUUCGAAUCCCGUCGGGGGUACUA